rnacentral:rRNA from 1 species
UACGUAGGGGGCUAGCGUUGUCCGGAAUCAUUGGGCGUAAAGCGCGUGUAGGCGGCCUUGUAAGUCCGUUCUGAAAGCCCGGGGCUCAACCCCGGGAGGCGGAUGGAUACUGCAAGGCUCGAGUCCGGAAGAGGCGAGUGGAAUUCCCGGUGUAGCGGUGAAAUGCGCAGAUAUCGGGAGGAACACCAAUGGCGAAGGCGGCUUACUGGUCCGGUUCUGACGCUGAGGCGCGAAAGCGUGGGGAGCAAACAGG